CUCUUGGGUGCCACUUCAUGCUUUUGUUCAUGCUCUGUAUGUUUCCACAGUUCAGUUUUCGCCACAUGAGGAGGCGGAGAACAGAGAAAAACCUUAGAAAAAAAAAAAGCUGGAAGCAUGAGAACAUGAGGAGAGAAGGAGAGAGAGAAAGAAAACGAGAGAGUAGCAACCUGCAUCACAUCCAUCACACUUCUUAAUUGGUCAGGAUGAAAACUUUGUGGAGGGAACAGAGGAAGGAGCACACGAGGCAUCUCUUGGAAAUAGAAAAAUGAAGCGAUUAAAGUGAAGCCUGGCUGGAUGAUAGCGCCCAAAGCUCCAGGCCUCUCCAGCUAAAUUACUGCUCUCUACACUCGUGCUGCAGCACAGCGAGGCCACAGAGAGACUCUGGAAGGGGAUUUCAAAGAAAACGCCUUUAAAGAGUAUAUUGGGUGUAUGUGUGUGGUGUGUAAUGGGCUAAGAGCUGUAUCUUUUAUUUUUCAGACAUUCAAAGGAUGCAGACAUUGGAUGACACUUUGAGAUUGGUAGCACUAGAUGACACAUCCAGUCGAAGAUGAGUGGAGAUUUCCGAGGCGACGCCCGUGAGGAAGCAGACUGUCAGUUCAGUGAAUCGGGGGGUCUUUGACAGAACGGCUGUUGCCCACUUGCUGUGUGUUGGUGUGUGCCAGGCCAGUUUGCUGCUGGUGUGGAAACGUGUGAUGGACAGCUGCUGUGGUGAACAGUUAUACAGCGCUCCCAACGUUCCUGCCACUUUUGGAGUGUGUUCUGGAAAUCUUUUCCAAAACAUUAACUAGCAAUGGUGUCAAAGCGGUGAACUUUGAGUUGGAUCUCCAUCUUCGGAAAGAGGGCAAAGUCCAGCAGGAGUAAGGAGCCUGGAGCUUCUCCCAGGGAACUGGCAGCGAAAAGCCUGCAUCGUGUUCCAACCCAUCGCAUGGAUAAAACCACAGUACCCUGAGGAAACUCCAUUCACACAGGGCAAAGGCGGAAUUGAAACCCUCAUCCCUAGAGGUUGAGAAUCAAUGAUGCUAAGCGUUAUUGUGCCAACGGUGCACGAGUGGAGGGAAUAAAGAAAUCUCGGCUUGGUGGACUUUACCUGUCGCUCUCUCUUCCAGCGCAGAACCAGUUAUUGUGUUACAGUGGUACCAAAACCCAGGGCCAACGAGGAGUGCUGCAGCCGCUACCUACGUCCUGCGUGGCAACGGGCACUGCAUCAUCUGCCAUGCCUCUCCAGGGAGGUCCAAAUGGCGGUGUACCCAGGGACAGGCAGCUUCUCUCCCUCUCUUUUAUUCCCUCUCUCCUUCUCCAAUGACUGUUUCCACCCACCUGCUCCUUGAAUCUUGGAGCACUUUCCACCACCUUCUGCCUCUCCACCAACUUCUAGUGCUGUUUGUUCUAAACCCUUGUUUAAUGACACCUUAUGAUCCUAAGAGAAGAGAAGAGAAGAGAAGAGAAGAGAAGAGAAGAGCUUUGUCACAUAUACACUACCACACAGUGAAACUCUUGUGAAAUCAUAUCCCAGCUUGUUAUGAAUCUAGGGUCCAUUAUGAUACAGCAUGAUACAGCAGCACCCAUUUAUUAGAGAGUGCCAAGGACCCUUACGGCUAUUGUUGGACCCUUAAACAAGAGUCCUUAGACCCAUAGAGGACAAGUGAUAUUUUUUUACGUAAAUAUGAUGCUUAGCACAUACAUGGCAGUGCUGGGCUUGAACCUUUGACUUUCUAAUCAGUGACCCAGAGCCUUAACUCUUGAGCAAUCACUGACUAUGGGGUGUUUAAAUGAGUCCUGAGGUAAUAUGUAUUGCAAAAGAUUUAUUAGUACAGCAAAUACAUGGCUUGGCACUUGUCAGAAAUCAUUGUUGUUAAUUAUUGUUAAUUAUAAAUGAUGUGUACAAAUUCAAUGGGUGAAUAAACCUUCUAAGAUUUGUAGCAUGUUUAG